rnacentral:rRNA from 2 species
GGUUAAGCGACUAAGCGUACACGGUGGAUGCCCUGGCAGUCAGAGGCGAUGAAGGGCGUGCUAAUCUGCGAUAAGCGCCGGUAAGGUGAUAUGAACCGUUAUAACCGGCGAUACCCGAAUGGGGAAACCCAGUGUGAUUCGUCACACUAUCAUUAACUGAAUCCAUAGGUUAAUGAGGCGAACCGGGGGAACUGAAACAUCUAAGUACCCCGAGGAAAAGAAAUCAACCGAGAUUCCCCCAGUAGCGGCGAGCGAACGGGGAGGAGCCCAGAGCCUGAAUCAGCAUGUGUGUUAGUGGAAGCGUCUGGAAAGGUGCGCGAUACAGGGUGACAGCCCCGUACACAAAAGCGCAUGUGCUGUGAGCUCGAUGAGUAGGGCGGGACACGUGGUAUCCUGUCUGAAUAUGGGGGGACCAUCCUCCAAGGCUAAAUACUCCUGACUGACCGAUAGUGAACCAGUACCGUGAGGGAAAGGCGAAAAGAACCCCGGCGAGGGGAGUGAAAAAGAACCUGAAACCGUGUACGUACAAGCAGUGGGAGCCCCACCACUAAGCCAGUGGUGAACUCCACAUCCGCAUCCUUUGCUGAGGAUACGGUUAACGGAGCGAAAGCGACGUUCAACCGCAAAACAAGCAGAGGGGGCUUAGUGGUGGGGUGACUGCGUACCUUUUGUAUAAUGGGUCAGCGACUUAUAUUCUGUAGCAAGGUUAACCGAAUAGGGGAGCCGGAGGGAAACCGAGUCUUAAUUGGGCGUUAAGUUGCAGGGUAUAGACCCGAAACCCGGUGAUCUAGCCAUGGGCAGGUUGAAGGUUGGGUAACACUAACUGGAGGACCGAACCGACUAAUGUUGAAAAAUUAGCGGAUGACCUGUGGCUGGGGGUGAAAGGCCAAUCAAACCGGGAGAUAGCUGGUUCUCCCCGAAAGCUAUUUAGGUAGCGCCUCGUGAAUUCAUCUCCGGGGGUAGAGCACUGUUUCGGCUAGGGGGCCAUCCCGGCUUACCAACCCGAUGCAAACUGCGAAUACCGGAGAAUGUUAUCACGGGAGACACACGGCGGGUGCUAACGUCCGUCGUGAAGAGGGAAACAACCCAGACCGCCAGCUAAGGUCCCAAAGUCAUGGUUAAGUGGGAAACGAUGUGGGAAGGCCCAGACAGCCAGGAUGUUGGCUUAGAAGCAGCCAUCAUUUAAAGAAAGCGUAAUAGCUCACUGGUCGAGUCGGCCUGCGCGGAAGAUGUAACGGGGCUAAACCAUGCACCGAAGCUGCGGCAGCGAACGUAUCACUUAAAGCGAUUCAGCGGGUUACGAUUGACGGAGCGAAGCGACGUCAAAGCGUAUACAAAGUCGAGUCGGUUUAAGGAUACGUUCGUUGGGUAGGGGAGCGUUCUGUAAGCCCGUGAAGGUGGCCUGUGAGGGUUGCUGGAGGUAUCAGAAGUGCGAAUGCUGACAUAAGUAACGAUAAAGCGGGUGAAAAGCCCGCUCGCCGGAAGACCAAGGGUUCCUGUCCAACGUUAAUCGGGGCAGGGUGAGUCGACCCCUAAGGCGAGGCCGAAAGGCGUAGUCGAUGGGAAACGGGUUAAUAUUCCCGUACUUGGUGUUACUGCGAAGGGGGGACGGAGAAGGCUAUGUUGGCCGGGCGACGGUUGUCCCGGUUUAAGCGUGUAGGUGUGUGUUCCAGGUAAAUCCGGUUCACUUUAACACUGAGGCGUGACGACGAGGCACUACGGUGCUGAAGCAACAAAUGCCCUGCUUCCAGGAAAAGCCUCUAAGCAUCAGGUAACACGAAAUCGUACCCCAAACCGACACAGGUGGUCAGGUAGAGAAUACCAAGGCGCUUGAGAGAACUCGGGUGAAGGAACUAGGCAAAAUGGUGCCGUAACUUCGGGAGAAGGCACGCUGACACGUAGGUGAAGUGAUUUACUCAUGGAGCUGAAGUCAGUCGAAGAUACCAGCUGGCUGCAACUGUUUAUUAAAAACACAGCACUGUGCAAACACGAAAGUGGACGUAUACGGUGUGACGCCUGCCCGGUGCCGGAAGGUUAAUUGAUGGGGUCAGCGCAAGCGAAGCUCCUGAUCGAAGCCCCGGUAAACGGCGGCCGUAACUAUAACGGUCCUAAGGUAGCGAAAUUCCUUGUCGGGUAAGUUCCGACCUGCACGAAUGGCGUAAUGAUGGCCAGGCUGUCUCCACCCGAGACUCAGUGAAAUUGAACUCGCUGUGAAGAUGCAGUGUACCCGCGGCAAGACGGAAAGACCCCGUGAACCUUUACUAUAGCUUGACACUGAACAUUGAGCCUUGAUGUGUAGGAUAGGUGGGAGGCUUUGAAGUGUGGACGCCAGUCUGCAUGGAGCCGACCUUGAAAUACCACCCUUUAAUGUUUGAUGUUCUAACGUGGACCCGUAAUCCGGGUUGCGGACAGUGUCUGGUGGGUAGUUUGACUGGGGCGGUCUCCUCCUAAAGAGUAACGGAGGAGCACGAAGGUUGGCUAAUCCUGGUCGGACAUCAGGAGGUUAGUGCAAUGGCAUAAGCCAGCUUGACUGCGAGCGUGACGGCGCGAGCAGGUGCGAAAGCAGGUCAUAGUGAUCCGGUGGUUCUGAAUGGAAGGGCCAUCGCUCAACGGAUAAAAGGUACUCCGGGGAUAACAGGCUGAUACCGCCCAAGAGUUCAUAUCGACGGCGGUGUUUGGCACCUCGAUGUCGGCUCAUCACAUCCUGGGGCUGAAGUAGGUCCCAAGGGUAUGGCUGUUCGCCAUUUAAAGUGGUACGCGAGCUGGGUUUAGAACGUCGUGAGACAGUUCGGUCCCUAUCUGCCGUGGGCGCUGGAGAACUGAGGGGGGCUGCUCCUAGUACGAGAGGACCGGAGUGGACGCAUCACUGGUGUUCGGGUUGUCAUGCCAAUGGCACUGCCCGGUAGCUAAAUGCGGAAGAGAUAAGUGCUGAAAGCAUCUAAGCACGAAACUUGCCCCGAGAUGAGUUCUCCCUGAGACUUAGAGUCUCCUGAAGGAACGUUGAAGACGACGACGUUGAUAGGCCGGGUGUGUAAGCGCAGCGAUGCGUUGAGCUAACCGGUACUAAUGAACCGUGAGGCUUAACCUU